rnacentral:rRNA from 1 species
AACGAACGCUGGCGGCAUGCCUAACACAUGCAAGUCGAACGAGACCUUCGGGUCUAGUGGCGCACGGGUUCGUAACGCGUGGGAACCUGCCCUUAGGUUCGGAAUAACUCCCCGAAAGGGGUGCUAAUACCGGAUAAUGUCUUCGGACCAAAGAUUUAUCGCCCUUGAAUGGUCGCGCGUUGGAUUAGAUAGUUGGUAGGGUAAAAGCCUAUCAAGGCGUCGAUCCAUAGCUGGUUAGAGAGGAAGAUUAGCAACACCGGGACUGAGAAGCGGCCCAGACUCCUACGGGAGGGAGCAGUGGGGAAUAGUGGAAAAUCGGCGAAAGCCUGAUCCAGCAAUGCCGCGUGAGUGAUGAAGGCCUUAGGGAUGUAAAGCUCUUUUACCCGGGAUGAUAAUGACGGUACCGGGAGAAUAAGCUCCGGCUAACUCCGUG